rnacentral:rRNA from 1 species
CCUACGGGAGGCAGCAGUGAGGAAUAUUGGUCAAUGGCCGGAAGGCUGAACCAGCCAUGCCGCGUGAAGGUCAGUGCCCUAUGGGCUUUAAACUUCUUUUGUGCGGGAGCAAUAAUGGGCACGUGUGGCCCGGCGAGAGUACCGUACGAAUAAGCAUCGGCUAACUCCGUGCCAGCAGCCGCGGUAAUACGGGGGAUGCAAGCGUUAUCCGGAUUUAUUGGGGUUAAAGGGGGCGUAGGCGGAUUGUUAAGUCAGCUGUGAAAGUGUGCGGGUUAACCGCAAAAUAGCAGUUGAAACUGGGAGUCUUGAGUGCAGUAGAGGUAGGCGGAAUUCGUGGUGUAGCGGUGAAAUGCUUAGAGAUCACGAAGAACGCCGAUUGCGAAGGCAGCUCACUGGAGUGCAACUGACGCUGAGGCUCGAAAGUGUGGGUAUCAAACAGGAUUAGAUACCCGGGUAGUC